CCCUUAGAUGUUCUGGGCCGCACGCGCGCUACACUGGUUCAGUCAACGAGUUCUUCACCUUGAUCGAGAGGUCUGGGUAAUCUUCGAAUCUGAAUCGUGAUGGGGAUAGUUCAUUGUAAUUGUUGAACUUAAACGAUGAAUUCCUAGUAAACGUGAGUCAUCAGCUCACAUUGAUUACGUCCCUGCCCUUUGUACACACCGCCCGUCGCACCUACCGAUUGAAUGGUCCGGUGAGAUCCUCGGACUGCGAUGACGCUCUGGCAACAGAGUUAAUUGCGGAAAGUUGAUCAAACCUUACCAUUUAGAGGAAGGUGAAGUCGUAACA
rnacentral:rRNA from 1 species